CCCCCCCAAAACUGCACCUGGCCUGUGCCCCCCCCCCCGCUGAGGAUAGCGCUGGGGCUGACCCCCCACUGGCCUAGGUCCCCCCUGGGCUGGGUUGCCCCCCAAAACUGCACCCUCCCAGGACUGCCCCUGGCCUGUGGCUCCCCCCGAUGAUAGCGCUGGGGUUGUCCCCCACCCGGGACUGUCCCUGGCCUGUGCCCCCCCCAAGGCUGAGGAUAGCGCUGGGGCUGACCCACCCCCUGGCCUAGGCCCCACCCUGGCCUAGGUCUCCCCCCAAAACUUCACCUCCCCCCGGGACUGCUCCUGGCCUCUGGGGCCCCCCCUAGCCGAGGAUAGCGCUGGGGCUGACCCCCCAGCCUGUUGCAGACGUAGCCCAGAUGCACCGUACGUGGGCUCUGGCCGUGGGUUCACGGGGGCCCUGCACCAGGCUCGAGUCUCACACGCAGGCAACACAUGGCCUGUAAAUUCCCCCAUUGUUUGUUGUGGCCCCCAGGAAAGCCCAGGGGCAUGUGUUGGGGGAGGUGAUGGUGCCUGUGUAACCUUAACUCUGCCCAGCCUGCGCUUACCCAGCACAGCUGUGAGCUGCAGGGUCCCUGGCAUUCUCCAGGUCUAUACUAUCAACUGAUGGCUCUGGUGAGAAAAACCCAUCUCCCCUGCUGCAGACAGUGCUGUGCCGAUGGGGGCUUCUCCCGCCUCUUGCGGAGGGGGGUGAACUACGCCGGCAGGAGGUGCUCUCCCAUCCGUCGGCAUGGGAGCGUCUUCGCUGAAGCCCAGCAGCAGAGUUUCGAGUGUCAGCCUGCCCUUAUAAUCUGCCAGCCUCAGGGAGGUUUAUGGGGCUUUGGUGGGAAUGCUGAGCCAGACGUGGGGAGGCCAUGGAGAAGGACACAGAGGGAGCCCAGCCCUCAGGACCAAGGCCCUGGAGGGAAAAGGCUCUGGGUCCAAUUCCCCACCCCCAGGAACCAGCCUUUCUUUAAUGCAGAUGUCCUGGCCUGCUGCUUGACAGGUCCUUGGGAUUCCCAUCUGCUGUGUUUGUUCCCUGGCUAGCCGCUGAGAGGAGCUCCAAGUACAGACCCUUGUUGUACGUACAGACCCUUGUUGUACGCCAGGCUAUUCCUGCCCCGCAGUGCCUGGGUGUGGAAGUACAAGCUCAAAUCCUGCUCUGCCCCAGCCCUGCAGAGUGGCUGGGACGGGGCAAAGCUCAUGAGCUGGCCCUGCCCAGCAUGGGGCUACCUUCUACUUUAGAUCCCUGCUCUGAGGGCCAAAUGUCCUACUUCACCUUCCCUGUGUCACAGGGCAGGCCUGGCAGCCAGGAGGUGGGGCCGUGAAGCUGUCUAUGGAGGCACAAAGGUCCUGGCUGAUAAGAGACUUCUUUAUCUAGGAUCUUGUGCCCAGCCUCCAGAAGGAACCUUCUGAGUGAAAGCAAGUCCUCUGCUUUCCAACUCCCUUUUGUUGCUGUGAGCUGCUAGCCAGUUGCUGUGUUCCACCCAGAGGUGGCUGCAUUUCUGUGGCAGCCCGAGGACGGUGUAGGACAGUUGCCCAUCCCCUGCCCCAGGCUGGGAGAUGGACCACCAGCUGCGAGAGCGGUGGCUGCAGGAGGAGCGGGAGUAUCUGCAGAGCAUGGCGAAGCAGACAAGCUCGCAGGAGCAGGGCAGGGUGCCGGACGCCGGAGGGGGCGAUAGCAGGGGGAUUGCAGACCAGGCUGGUGCCGGCGGUGGACGGAGGCAGAGCAGGGCCCAGCCCAUUGUCCCCGAGCCCCUCGCUAGUGACGAGGCCCUGCAGGUGCCCCGUGUCCCUAAGUCACCCAGGGACUGCAGCCUGAUUGCAGGGGCCGUGGAGCGCAAUGACUUCCUGCGGCUCCUGGGCGAGGGCCAGGCAGACGCCAUGAUGCAGAGCUUCAUGCCCGCCUGGCAUGGCCCAGGGCACACGGUGCUGGCCGAGGGCACUGAUGGGGACGCUAUGUACAUCGUUGCUGAAGGUGAGCUGAGUGUGACCCAGCGCGGGUGCCACCUUCGCACGCUGCUCCCGGGGGAUGUAUUUGGGGAGCUGGCGAUCCUGUACAACUGCAAACGCACUGCCACUGUCACAGCACUCACCCAGGUCCGGCUCUGGGCCAUUGACCGGCAGAUCUACCGCACCAUCGUCACCAGCCAGGCCAAGCGCCGACGGGCCGAGAUCCUGGACUCCCUCAGAGAGGCACCAUCGCUGCAGGGCCUGGCGGAUGCUCAGCUCUCCAAGCUGCUGGACUCCAUGGAGGAGUGCACAUUCGCUCAUGACGAGGUGAUUGUUCGUGAAGGGGACGAGGGGAAUAACUUCUACAUCAUCCUGAGAGGAGAGGUUUGGGUCAGCAGGCGUGUGAAUGGGCGGGAGGAGCCGAUCCGGAUGCUGCGAGCUGGCGAGCACUUUGGGGAGCUGUCGCUGCUGCGCAACAUCCGCCGGACGGCCACCUGCCGGGCGCACGGGGAGGUCGCCUGCAUCACUGUCACCAAGAAAGACUUCCAGGAGAUCUGCCCCUUCUGCCCCACGCCGAGGCAGCUCUCAGAGCCAGACGUGGCUAUGCUGGAGGCUCCGUCCCUUCCUGAGCCCGGCCACGCCCCGGGCCCCGAGACAGCCCUGGCCCCACUGCGGCUCCAGGACCUGGCAGCUGUACGCUACGAGGACGGGCAGCACCACGGCCUCCCUGUGAUCUUGGGCACCGGCGGCUUUGGCAGAGUUGAGCUGGUGCGCGGGCAGGGUCAGCUCUUUGCCCUCAAGCGGAUCCGCAAGGACCACGUGGUGCGGAAGCGGCAGCAGGAACAUGUGCACACGGAGAAGCGGGUGCUGGAGCAGAGCCGCUGCCCCUUCAUCGUGGGGCUCUUUGGCACCUUCAAGGACAGCCAGUACGUCUACAUGCUGCUGGAGUUCUGCCAGGGGGGCGAGCUGUGGACCAAGCUGCGCGAGGCGCGCUGCUUCGAGGAGGAGGUGGCCGUGUUCUGCACGGCCUGCGUGGUGGAGGCACUCGACUACCUUCACGGCAACGGGAUUAUCUACCGGGACCUCAAGCCCGAGAACCUGAUGCUGGACAAGCAGGGUUACAUCAAACUGGUGGAUUUUGGCUUUGCCAAGGAGCUGGUGCGGGGGGAGAAGACCUACUCGUUCUGUGGCACCCCCGAGUACCUGGCGCCUGAGAUCCUGCGGAACGAGGGCCACGACUUCGCCAUCGACUUCUGGAUGAUGGGCAUCCUCAUCUUCGAGAUGCUGGUGGGCCGGCCCCGUUCCACAGCGCCGAGCCCCAGAAGAUCUACAGCAAGAUCCUGGAUGGGGUUUUCUCAUUCCCAGCCUACAUGAGCAAGGCCGCCUGUUCCCUGGUCUCCAAGCUGUGCCGGCACCGGCCAGGGCAGCGCUUGGGCAACACCAGCACCGGCAUCCAUGGCAUCAGGAAACACCGGUGGUUUGGCUCAGUGAAGUGGAAGCGUCUGGCCCUGCGGCAGAUCAAUGCUCCCACCAUGGCGCUG